UACAGGUGAAUCAGGCGACGUCUUGAA
rnacentral:piRNA from 1 species